UUUAAGCUUUCUUUCCAUAUUUUAUAGAAUUUGUUAAUUUGUUUUUUGUUUUGCUAGUACUUGGAGGCCAACAGGAAGUGACAAAAGCAAAUGGGUAAAAGACUGAAAAAUAAAGUAUUCUUAACCUGAUGUAAACUUUCUUCACGAUCUGGCCCCAUGUGCAUUUCCAACUUUACCUCUGGACCAGAUUAAUUUGCCAUUGCGAUCUUCUCAACUCAGAAGUACUUAAUAAUCAUAUUCUAAUCAAAUCUACCCAGAGUGUCUAUAGAAGUUGCUAUUUAAUUUACUGGGAUUUUACAGCUCCUAUUUGUAUAAAUUUAUAAUUGAACUUACUAUAUGUUUGCAUAGUUUAUGUCUAAAAGAUAUUUCCCCCACUCUCAGUCUGAAUGAGCAAAGAACAUGCGUUUAAUCCUUCUGUACCUAUUGACUAGUGACUAAAAUGAAGUUAACAGAAUCAGCAAAUACAUGUUUAACUAGCAAAUGAAAGUUCAAUGAACUAAUACUACGUGAUUUUCUUAUUAGUAGUACCAUCUUGGUCAAGUCUCUCAACUUUUUUGUGUCUUUCUUUACUUACUUGCAAAAUGUAUAUAACAAUUAUUGCCUUCCCCUUUUAAAAUGUCACAAUAUUUUGGUAUCAAAAUUAGAAAAAUGGUUACAAAGGUAUUUAUAAAUGUAAGGUAUUGUGUAUAGAAAAUAGAUCAUUUUGAAUGUUUCGAGCUUAUAGUUUUACUAAAUUUUCAGAUAGCCACACAGGCAUGUGUGAGUACACACACAAGAUAGCCCAUGAAUAAAAUGAAAUGUUGCUGUAUUUCCUAUCUUUAUUGAUUCUUAUGUUUAUCAAUGUGUGGAAAACGUAUCAGCUUCGCUGAUUUGGUAGCCCUAUACUUGAAUGCUAUCAUGGGGGAGACAGUUACUCCACUUGACAAUACGUUUUAAAUCAUCGCUAUUGUUUUCUUAGAUUUUAAAUUCUUGAAAGAUGAUAAGUACAGCUCCAUAUAGUGUGCAAUACAUUAUUAUACAAAAACAGUCAAUACCAAGCAUCUUUGAUAGUGAUAAUAACUUUCUGAAUGGUAAUAAGCAUGGUCAGAAGCAAUAAAAAGUCGAUAAUUAAUUAGAAAAGUCAGGCAACAGUCCUUACCAUCCCCACUGCAAAAUUCCUACACAGAGAGGUAUGCAUUUUAGCUUGUAAAACAUUAUUUACCAAUCCUUGAAAUUGGACCAGUCAGGAAUACUACACUUGUUGCAUAACUUGAGUGCUCUGGUAUUUUGUCAUUGUUUUGUAUAUGAACUAACCAACACUUUUGGCAAUACUGCAAACUUAAAUUUUACAAAUGAUAUGCAUGGCAGAAAUGUGACUUUAUUGCUGUUGCAAGCUAUCUUUUAGAUGCCUUUAUGCCAAGUGACAUAAUGAAAGUUUAAAUUAAAAAAGUUAAAGUUGACAAAUGAUAAGACUACAGAGAUGAUGUAACUGUAUGGCAAAGUUUUCGUCAUUUAUUGGUUUCCCGAUGCCAUCUCAGUACUAUUGCUCAUGUUACUGAUGAAUUUAUGCUAUAUAAAGCACACCUCAAUCAAAUUCAGGAGAGUUAGCAGAAAAAUAUUUUUCAUCAAGGAUGGAAUUGACAAGUACAAAUUCUGUGGAAACUGUCUGAUAAGCUUCAGAAACGGCACUCUACAAUUUUAGGAUUUCAAAAAGACAGCAUUAUCAGGAAGAAAAACAAGAGUUAUUGUCAUUUAUCUUUGGUUGUUUUAAUGAAUUAUACAAACACAGUUUAACUCUGAGAAUUUUGUGCAUAUUAUUUGCAUUUUGUUGAUGGCGCUCUCAGCAAAGAAACUUUGGCUAAGCUGUAAAGCAGCCCUCUGAAUGAAUCAUACAACCUGCAAAGAGCUGUACUAAAUAUAUCCCUAUAUAUGACAAAAGCUUCAAGUCUUUCCUAACAUUUAUAUUAUUGAUACAAAUCAACAUAGAGAUCAGAGAGUUUUAAAAGUAAUGCAUGCACAAGGGAAUGGGCCUAAAGGAAGGGUGACAGUGGAGCAGCUUUGGGCUCACUAUUUGGCACAGCAGGGUUGCAUUCCUAUGUUAAUUGUAAACAACUAAAACAUACGUGUAUUUAAGCUAUCCUGCCAAGUACCGUACCAAGAAAGCUACUUGCAAAGCGAGGCGUCUCCAGCAUCAGAAAAAUCUGGGGAGCAGUAAGAAUGGUGGAAGAUGAUGACCCAAACUUAAAUGUGCAGUUGAUCCACAAGAGACCGCAAUCCUGCCAUGCCAAACAGUAGGAGGAGUUUAGAGGAGAAUGAACUGGACUGUGAGCCUUUCAUGAACUUCUCAAAAAACAGGAACAUGAGGCGAAAUGGUGAGGAAAACCCACAAUUCAAUCUACUACAACACGGUAAGCAUUUCCAGCUUUAAACCAUGAAGAAAAAUAAAUUGAGAAUUAGUGAAAAAAAAAAAAGAAA